UACGUGGGGUGCAAGCGUUAUCCGGAUUUAUUGGGCGUAAAGAGUUCGUAGGCGUCUUAUCAAGUUUUGCUUGAAAUCUCGAGGCUUAACCUCGAAACUGGGUGAAAUACUGGUAAGAUCGAGUCUGUUAGGGGGUACUGGAACUCAUGGUGUAGCAGUGAAAUGCGUUGAUAUCAUGAGGAACACCAAGGGCGAAGGCAGGUACCUGGGACACGACUGACGCUGAGGAACGAAAGCUAGGGGAGCGAAAGGG
rnacentral:rRNA from 1 species